rnacentral:rRNA from 1 species
GACAGAGGGUGCAAACGUUGUUCGGAAUUAUUGGGCGUAAAGAGCUCGUAGGCGGUUUGUUACGUCGGCUGUGAAAACCUGGGGCUCAACCCCGGGCCUGCAGCCGAUACGGGCAAACUAGAAUUCGGUAGGGGAGACUGGAAUUCCUGGUGUAGCGGUGAAAUGCGUAGAUAUCGUUUGGAACGCCAAUGGUGAAAACAGACAGCUGGGAGUGUGCUGACGCUGAGACACGAAAGCCAGGGGAGCGAACGGG